AAGUGAAGCAGCUAUCACAGGGUCUGGAACAUAUCAGGUGCUGGUAUUCCAGCAACACUCAGGCGGCUGCUCCAGGAGGCUGCAGAGGGGUCCUUUUUAGCCGUCAACAAAACUGGCUAUGGUCACGCCCAUUGGGAAACUCAUUGCUGCCUUCAAGUUAGGUUCUGUCAAUAGAAGAUACUAAAGAAAGAAAGCCAGGAGAAGAAAAGGGACUUCUUUCUUCAAGGUCUAAGCUGUUCUAAUAGCAUUAUUCUGGGAAUGGCAUCUUCCACUCCUCCUAGUACAAAGAACCUGCUUCCUCAUACCCCGUCAAGGAACUGCAGCAUCCAGGUACUUUCUCUGCCUCAAAGGUCUGCAUCCCAUUCUCCAUUUGGCCCCUCCUUUGAACUACCAGAUCUCCGGCUGGAUUGCCUUUUUGUUCUGGAAUUUUCUAAAUUUCUUUAUUAAAUUUCCCAGUUGAAAUUC
ensembl:lncRNA LINC01905 long intergenic non-protein coding RNA 1905